AUAAAUACAUUUAUUCAUGGCAAUAUUUAUUUCUGCCAAAUUUUUCUUCUGAAAAUAUUUACUUAUGAACAAACAACCUUUUAUUUUUACUUAUGAACGGUGUUACUAGUGGGAAUACGUCACUCUGCAACGAUCCCAUUAAGGUUGACACUGUUGACAUGUUGAGUGUUGACAAAAAUCACUAUCGAUUAUCUUUCCCUUAUCGAUAUUCAGUUAUUCCAUGUUGUCGUCAAAUGUUUAUCUCGUCUACUAUGUUUUGACGCUUGUUUUAACAGCAGUACAAAGCAUAUUAUUGUUAAUUUUAGGAUAUAUUUGUACCUUUGUAAAAAUGAGUGCCAACAAAGAAGAUUCACUUCGGCGAGUUAGACGGAGAAAAACUGUCAUUGGACCGAGACAGGAAUUACGCAGAAUAAAGGAACGUGUUGAUUCCUUUCUGUUAGAAGCUUCCCAACAAGAAAACCAAUAUAGACAAUUACAAACGUCACAUAUGGUCAAUGUUCUCUGCACUGAAGUUUACUCGAUGACUUUGGAUAUGGUUCCAAUAACCACCAACACGCAUGCCCAAACUGAUAGUGAUGAUCUUCAGCACUUAGAAAUUGAUUUAUCCCAUUAUGAACAUAUUGGUAAACAUGAGACACAUAAUGAAGAUCAACCAGAGUCAUAUAUGUCAUCGUACAGUGAAUUUGGAUUGCGUGAACAAAUAAAUGAGAGUUUCUCGUCUACUGAUAGUUCGGAUGAAAACCAAUUGGCAGACUUUGAUGAUGGGAUGAACAAGGACAGUGACGUAGGCAACGAUGCAUACGAAAUCAAAGUUAAACAAACGAUACUGGAGUGGGUUGUUGAAUGUAACGUUCCCAGUUAUCACGUCAGCAAUAUACUUAGGAGGCUAAACGUUGUUGCAAAACUGUCAUUCUUACCUCUCGAUUCCCGAACACUUUUAUCGUCCAGACGAGGGAAAUUGAAUGUCAAAGACAUGUUUCCUGGAAAGUAUCAUCAUUUUGGAGUAGAAGAAUCUUUACAGGCCUUACUACUAUCAAUGGAUUCAAGAAAAGUUCCAAUACCUUACGAAUUAAAUAUACUAUUUAACAUUGAUGGCCUGCCACUAUCAAACAGCAGCAGUAGCGAGUUUUGGCCAAUUUUGUUCAAAGUGCAAGGCUUGGAAGAUGUUUUAAUAGCUGGAAUUUACCAUGAAAAAAAAACCAGAAGAUGUAAACGUUUUUCUUCGAGACGUCUGUGAGGGCCUUUCCAGUGAUUCCCCAGCAACCACUUUUGCUUUAUGCAUUAAAUCGCACAACGCGUACUUUGGUUGUCGGAAAUGCAUCACCAAAGGUUGUUGGGUACAAAAUACUAUAAGUCAGGACCUAUCCUGAAUUAGACGCACCACUUCGUACAGACUUCUCUUUUCUUCAAAGAUUACAACCUGAGCACCACGAGAAAAAUGGUAGACAAUCAAUUCUUGAGAAGGUCUUAAGGGAUGCUGUCAACGAUUUGGUUAUUGAUUACAUGCAUCUUGUCUGUAUCUGAGUACACAAGAAACAACUAGAAGAAUGGGUGUAUGGAUUAAUCCCAUACAUACCUAGCAAUUUCGUCAGGAAACCAGGACCGAUGGAAGACCUACCUCGCUGGAAAGCAACGGAAUUGAGGCUUGAUCUACUGUACAUGUGUCCAACUAACAAGCAAUUUCUUUCAGAAAAUAGAUUUGGUCAUUUGAUGCUGUUACACGUGGCAAUUAAACUUCUUGUAAAUAAGAAGGAUUGUCGCAGAAACACAAGUUACGCAGAGGAAUUGUUGAAAGCUUACGUUUCAACAUGCCCAAUAUUAUAUGGAAAUCAGCUAAAUACUUUCAGUGUUCAUUCCCUGAUUCAUCUACCGAAUGAUGUACUCAACCAUGGAAGCCUUGAUGAGUUCAGCGCAUUUCUCUUUGAAAACAAGUUUCAGAAAAUAAAAAAUUUAAUUAGGAAAAGUGGUAAACCAUUGCAACAAUUUUUAAAUCGUUUAGAAGAAAUCCAGCUUGCUCACUUUGAAGGAGAUGCAAACAAAAGUCUGAAGAAUUCGCUUGAUUUAUUGGGUUUACAUAGCAAUGGUCCACUACCUAUUACAGAAUCUAUUUUAAAUGGGGAACAGUUUAAAAAAUUGCAUUUCAAUGACUUGUUUUCACACCUAAGUUACCAGAGUACUGCAUCUUUUUGGAAAACAACAACAUCGUCCUUAUUGAAAUUUUUUUUUAACGAUGAACGGAGAGAUCUUAAUAGUAGGAAAACAGUAUUUGAAACAAGAAGACAUGUUUAAAUACCCUCUUCCUUCAUAUACCAUCAGCGAAUUCCUUGUGUCACAGCUCUCUAGUUUGGAUUUGUUCCAAUUACUUAACGUAAAAUGCAAAGCAGUACGGAUACCGAUUGCUAUUCCGUCAAAUGGUUUUUUCUUUGAGUGUCCACUCGUCAAUACAAGUACUGCGUAGUUGUUACAUAAUCAUCUGUACUUCUGUAUGUGAUGUUGGAGUCGCACUCAACUUAAGAAAAAUUCAAUGAAUAUCUAUAAUACAAACUCAUUAUAUCAGAUAAUAAUUGUUGCUUAAAAAUAAACAUAAAUGGUGUAUAUAGGAAACGACAUCCUAUAAACAUUCUAACACUUA
rnacentral:misc_RNA from 1 species